UACAGAGGGGGCAAGCGUUGUUCGGAAUUACUGGGCGUAAAGGGCGCGUAGGCGGCCUUCUAAGUCGAACGUGAAAUCCCCGGGCUCAACCCGGGAACUGCGUCCGAUACUGGAAGGCUUGAAUCCGGGAGAGGGAUGCGGAAUUCCAGGUGUAGCGGUGAAAUGCGUAGAUAUCGAGAGGAACACCUGCGGCGAAGGCGGGUAGCUGGGCCGACACUGACGCUGAGGCGCGAAAGCCAGGGGAGCGAACGGG
rnacentral:rRNA from 1 species